GGUGAACGCUGGCGGCGUGUCUAAGGCAUGCAAGUCGAACGGUUCAGUGGAGUUUCCGCAAGGAAAUUUUACUGGAUAGUGGCGAACGGGUGAGUAACACCUUGGUAACCUACCUCCGAGAGGGGCAUAACUCCGCGAAAGCGGAGCUAAUUCCCCGUACGUUCCGACAGUACUUCUGUCGGAAGAAAAGCCCGCAAGGGUUGCUCGGAGAGGGGCCUAGGUCCCAUCAGCUUGUUGGUAGGGUAAUGGCCUACCAAGGCAAUGACGGGUAGCCGGUCUGAGAGGACGACCAGCCACACUGGAACUGAGACACGGUCCAGACUCCUACGGGAGGCAGCAGUGGGGAAUUUUGGACAAUGGGCGCAAGCCUGAUCCAGCAAUGCCGCGUGCAGGAUGAAGGCCUUAGGGUUGUAAACUGCUUUUGUACGGAACGAAACGGCCCUUCUAAUACGGGGGGCUAAUGACGGUACCGUAAGAAUAAGCACCGGCUAACUACGUGCCAGCCGCCGCCGUAA
rnacentral:rRNA from 1 species